AAAGAAAGUAAGCAAGGGCGCAUGGCGGAUGCCUUGGCUCUCGGAGGCGAUGAAGGACGUGAUAAGCUGCGAUAAGCUUCGGGUAGGUGCAAAUAACCUUUGAUCCGAAGAUUUCCGAAUGGGACAACCCGACAUUCUGAAGGAAUGUCAUCCUGCUUGGCAGGAGGCUAACGCAGGGAACUGAAACAUCUUAGUACCUGCAGGAAAAGAAAAUAAUAAUGAUUCCCCAAGUAGUGGCGAGCGAACGGGGAUUAGCCCAAACCAAUGUUGUUACGGCAAUAUUGGGGUUGUAGGACCACGUUGUCGCAAGACAUUCAGUGAGAAGAAUUCUUUGGAAAAUGAAACCAUAGACGGUGAUAGUCCGGUAUUCGAAGCUGAACGAAGCGUAGUGGUAUCCUGAGUAGCGCGGGACACGAGGAAUCUUGGCGUGAACCAGCCGGGACCAUCCGGUAAGGCUAAAUACUCCCGAGAGACCGAUAGCGAACCAGUACUGUGAAGGAAAGGUGAAAAGCACUUCGAAUAGAAGAGUGAAAUAGUCCCUGAAACCAUGCGCCUACAAGCGGUCGGAGCAGCUUAUGCUGUGACGGCGUGCCUUUUGCAUAAUGAACCUACGAGUUACUUUUUCCGGCAAGGUUAAGGAUCUAGAGAUCCGUAGCCGAAGCGAAAGCGAGUCUGAACAGGGCGAUAAGUCGGAAGGAGUAGACGCGAAACCAAGUGAUCUACCCUUGGCCAGGUUGAAGGUUAGGUAACACUAACUGGAGGACCGAACCGAUAAGCGUUGAAAAGCUUCCGGAUGAGCUGAGGGUGGGGGUGAAAGGCUAAUCAAACUUGGAGAUAGCUCGUACUCCCCGAAAUGCAUUUAGGUGCAGCCUUGUGAGUUACUAAUGUUGAGGUAGAGCGACUGAUAAGAUGCGAGGGCUUCACCGCCUAUCAAGUCUUGAUAAACUCCGAAUGCGCAUUAGUUCUAUCACAGGAGUGAGGGCAUGGGUGCUAAGGUCCAUGUCC
rnacentral:rRNA from 1 species